rnacentral:rRNA from 1 species
AGAGUUUGAUCCUGGCUCAGGAUGAACGCUAGCUACAGGCUUAACACAUGCAAGUCGAGGGGAAACGACAUCGAAAGCUUGCUUUUGAUGGGCGUCGACCGGCGCACGGGUGAGUAACGCGUAUCCAACCUGCCCACCACUUGGGGAUAACCUUGCGAAAGUAAGACUAAUACCCAAUGACGUCUCUGGAAGACAUCUGAAAGAGAUUAAAGAUUUAUCGGUGAUGGAUGGGGAUGCGUCUGAUUAGCUUGUUGGCGGGGUAACGGCCCACCAAGGCGACGAUCAGUAGGGGUUCUGAGAGGAAGGUCCCCCACAUUGGAACUGAGACACGGUCCAAACUCCUACGGGAGGCAGCAGUGAGGAAUAUUGGUCAAUGGGCGAGAGCCUGAACCAGCCAAGUAGCGUGCAGGAUGACGGCCCUAUGGGUUGUAAACUGCUUUUAUAAGGGAAUAAAGUGAGUCUCGUGAGACUUUUUGCAUGUACCUUAUGAAUAAGGACCGGCUAAUUCCGUGCCAGCAGCCGCGGUAAUACGGAAGGUCCGGGCGUUAUCCGGAUUUAUUGGGUUUAAAGGGAGCGUAGGCCGGAGAUUAAGCGUGUUGUGAAAUGUAGAUGCUCAACAUCUGAACUGCAGCGCGAACUGGUUUCCUUGAGUACGCACAAAGUGGGCGGAAUUCGUGGUGUAGCGGUGAAAUGCUUAGAUAUCACGAAGAACUCCGAUUGCGAAGGCAGCUCACUGGAGCGCAACUGACGCUGAAGCUCGAAAGUGCGGGUAUCGAACAGGAUUAGAUACCCUGGUAGUCCGCACGGUAAACGAUGGAUGCCCGCUGUUGGUCUGAAUAGGUCAGCGGCCAAGCGAAAGCAUUAAGCAUCCCACCUGGGGAGUACGCCGGCAACGGUGAAACUCAAAGGAAUUGACGGGGGCCCGCACAAGCGGAGGAACAUGUGGUUUAAUUCGAUGAUACGCGAGGAACCUUA